rnacentral:rRNA from 1 species
AUUGAACGCUGGCGGCAGGCCUAACACAUGCAAGUCGAACGAGUGGCGGACGGGUGAGUAAUGUCUGGGAAACUGCCUGAUGGAGGGGGAUAACUACUGGAAACGGUAGCUAAUACCGCAUACCCUCGGAUGUGCCCAGAUGGGAUUAGCUAGUAGGUGGGGUAAAGGCUCACCUAGGCGACGAUCCCUAGCUGGUCUGAGAGGAUGACCAGCCACAUUGGAACUGAGACACGUGCCACACUCCUACGGGAGGUAGCAGUGGGGAUUAUUGCACAAUGGGCUCAAGCCUGAUGCAGCCAGGCCGCGUGUAUGAAUAAGGCCUUCGGGUUGUAAAGUACUUUCAGCGGGGAGGCGUUACCCGCAGAAGAAGCACCGGCUAACUCCGUGCCAGCCGCCGCGGUAAUUC